rnacentral:rRNA from 1 species
UACGUAGGGUGCAAGCGUUGUCCGGAAUUAUUGGGCGUAAAGAGCUCGUAGGCGGUUCGUCGCGUCGGCUGUGAAAACCCGGAGCUCAACUCCGGGCCUGCAGUCGAUACGGGCGGACUCGAGUUCGGCAGGGGAGACUGGAAUUCCUGGUGUAGCGGUGAAAUGCGCAGAUAUCGGGAGGAACACCAAUGGCGAAGGCAGCUCGCUGGGACGUAACUGACGCUGAGACGCGAAAGCGUGGGGAGCAAACAGG